rnacentral:tRNA from 1 species
UAAAACUUGCAUCAUACUAUAAUACAUCUCCUGAAUGCAACUCAAGCACUUUAAUUAAGCUAAAGUUU